CAUGCUGUAAACGAUGUCAACUAGCCGUUGGGGACCUUGAGUCUUUAGUGGCGCAGCUAACGCGAUAAGUUGACCGCCUGGGGAGUACGGUCGCAAGACUAAAACUCAAAUGAAUUGACGGGGGCCCGCACAAGCGGUGGAGCAUGUGGUUUAAUUCGAUGAUACGCGAGGAACCUUACCAGGGCUUAAAUGUAGAUUGACAGGUCUGGAAACAGAUUUUUCUUCGGACAAUUUACAAGGUGC
rnacentral:rRNA from 1 species